GGUGGGGAUGACGUCAAGUCAUCAUGGCCCUUACGACCAGGGCUACACACGUGCUACAAUGGCGCAUACAAAGAGAAGCGACCUCGCGAGAGCAAGCGGACCUCAUAAAGUGCGUCGUAGUCCGGAUUGGAGUCUGCAACUCGACUCCAUGAAGUCGGAAUCGCUAGUAAUCGUGGAUCAGAAUGCCACGGUGAAUACGUUCCCGGGCCUUGUACACACCGCCCGUCACACCAUGGGAGUGGGUUGCAAAAGAAGUAGGUAGCUUAACCUUCGGGAGGGCGCUUACCACUUUGUGAUUCAUGACUGGGGUGAAGUCGUAACAAGGUAACCGUAGGGGAACCUGCGGUUGGAUCACCU
rnacentral:rRNA from 1 species